rnacentral:rRNA from 1 species
AGUGAACGCUGGCGGUAGGCCUAACACAUGCAAGUCGAACGGAAGCACCGUACGAGUUUGCUCUUCUGGGUGGGGGGUGGGGGAAGGGAGGGGAUAAUAUCGGAACCUACUUUUUGGUGGGGGUUAAGGAAGGGAAACUUACGCUAAUACAGCAUCCCAUGUUGGGGUGAAAGAGGGGGAUAUUUGGACCUUGUGGGAUUGAAUGCGCGGCUGUCGGAUUAGCUAGUUGGGGGGGUAAAGGCCAACCAAGGCGACGAUCCGUAGCUGGUCUGAGAGGAUGAUCAGCCACACUGGAACUGAGACACGGUCCAGACUCCUACGGGAGGCAGCAGUGGGGAAUAUUGGACAAUGGGCGCAAGCCUGAUCCAGCCAUACCGCGUGGGUGAAGAAGGCCUUCGGGUUGUAAAGCCCUUUUGUUGGGAAAGAAAAGCAGCAGGUUAAUACCCCGCUGUUCUGACGGUACCCAAAGAAUAAGCACCGGCUAACUUCGUG